GGGAUAUUACCGAGUUUCAACUCCCAAACCCAAUGUGAACGUUACCAAACUGUUGCCUCGGCGGGAUCUCUGCCCCGGGUGCGUCGCAGCCCCGGACCAAGGCGCCCGCCGGAGGACCAACCAAAACUCUUAUUGUAUACCCCCUCGCGGGAUUUUUUAUAAUCUGAGCCUUCUCGGCGCCUCUCGUAGGCGUUUCGAAAAUGAAUCAAAACUUUCAACAACGGAUCUCUUGGUUCUGGCAUCGAUGAAGAACGCAGCGAAAUGCGAUAAGUAAUGUGAAUUGCAGAAUUCAGUGAAUCAUCGAAUCUUUGAACGCACAUUGCGCCCGCCAGUAUUCUGGCGGGCAUGCCUGUCCGAGCGUCAUUUCAACCCUCGAACCCCUCCGGGGGGUCGGCGUUGGGGAUCGGCCCUCCCUUAGCGGGGUGGCCGUCUCCGAAAUACAGUGGCGGUCUCGCCGCAGCCUCUCCUGCGCAGUAGUUUGCACACUCGCAUCGGGAGCGCGGCGCGUCCACAGCCGUUAAACACCCAACUUCUGAAAUGUUGACCUCGGAUCAGGUAGGAAUACCCGCUGAACUUAAGCAUAUCAAUAA
rnacentral:rRNA from 1 species